AAGUGGUGAGAAUCAAAGUCAAAAGUGGACAUCGCACUUGGAGGAAGAGUUCAUGCAAGUUGUCCGCAAUAGGCUGCUGACCUUCUGAAAGAGUCAAACAGUGCAGCAACAGUCUCCAGCUCAAUUAGAGCAAGCAAAGUAGGAGUCAAAACAAAUGGGAGGAGCAAGAAGAGGGGGAAGGUGAAGUGCUGAAGUAGAGGUCUGCAAGAGAGUCAAGUUUAAGUGCAGUUUGGAAGGACUGGAAACUGUUUACAGCUUUGACGCGUUGAGUUGUUCAUUUCUAAAAAAUAGCAAGGAUCAACAUGGCUACAAAUGAGGAGGUGCAAGAUAUUCUCUGCAAGUUGUGGACCAAACUGCAAGGGCUGCCAGAAGCCAAUUCACUGGAUCUGGGGGCCUUCUUAGUGAUUAUCCUUUUUAUUGUUACAGUCCUCGCCAUGGUCGCCCUUACCUGUGCCCAAUUCUGCAGCUGUACACAGUCAAAAUACCAGGCCUCCAGAGUGCAACCGUUAUAGAGUGUCUGAAGAUCAAAUGGCACAUCAGCGUUAAGAAAAUGUUGCUCUACUACCAACAUGAACACAUAUUGGAAGACCUCCUUUUCAGAGUUCUGGUGGGAUUACCAACAGGUAUUUGUCAUGGGAAGGAUGAACAUUUCCAACAAUUACAGCUUUUUGGAUCAAAAUUGCAAUAACAUGAAUCAUGGACUCCAUAUGACACAAAGAAACAUUGUUGGACUCAACUAAAUGGUAAAACGUAAAGAAGUACUUGAAGCAUUCCAGACUUCUUACUCAGGUUAUUCAUUAGGCUAGAGCGUAAUAUUAAAAAACAUGCAUGCCAACUGCAUAUAUUCUGUUCACAUUUUCAAGUAGUUUGUGUUGAACACUGGGGCGCUAUCUGCUGGUCAAUUUAGAGUUGGCCGGUCACUAUGAAUGCCACAUACUGUAAAAUCAAAGGAUUUGGGGGGCCAUUUAGAUAUAUUUUUUUUUUUAAUCAAGGUAAAAGCAACCCAGUUUGCUAAAAACGUAUGUUUAUUGAAAACAGCCAGCAUGUCUGUUGUGUGUUAUAACUGACACAGUAUCAAUAUUUUUUAUAAUUGUUAACAUUACUUUUUCCUGUUAUAUUCCUUCACUUUUUAUGUUGUUUAGUCGUCUGUUUACUGUCCCACAUUAAACCAAAAAUGUUGAGAGUUGUACAAAACAGUCAUCAUUCAGUAAUCCCUUUAUAAUUUUCAUUCUUUAGAUUCUAUACACGAUACAUUGUGAUACAUUUUAAUUUUCCAGAUGGUUUUAAAAACAUCAGAAAAAGUGAUAAAGUAAACUAACCAUAAUUAUUAUAAUUAUUAAUCACAAUAAUUUACUGCAUUUCUUUUUUAUAUCUAUCACACUUAUAGGUUUACUCGUUCGCUCCAAUGAUGCACUAGUAGCUGCAUUGUUUAAUGCAUUUUAUUUAAUGUGAGAAAUUUAAAUUUAUUGCUGUAUUUUGUUGUGUCAUUCAUGUCACUAUUUACUGUAAUGCUGUAUGAGAAUCCCAGAGUUUUUGUUUGUCACACUAAAUAAAAAGAA